UCCGCAGGCGGAUUGGCAAGUAUCGUGUGAAAUACCAUGGCUCAACCAUGAAAUUGCUCGGUAAACUGCCAAUCUUGAACACGGUAGGGGCCAUCGGAACUCUAGGUGGAGCGGUGAAAUGCGUAGAUAUCUAGAGGAACGCCAGAGGCGAAGGCGGAUGGCUGGGCCGUUGUUGACGCUCAGGGACGAAAGCAUGGGUAGCGAACG
rnacentral:rRNA from 1 species